UAUCCUGUCUGAAUAUGGGGGGACCAUCCUCCAAGGCUAAAUACUCCUGACUGACCGAUAGUGAACCAGUACCGUGAGGGAAAGGCGAAAAGAACCCCGGCGAGGGGAGUGAAAAAGAACCUGAAACCGUGUACGUACAAGCAGUGGGAGCACAGGUUUACCUGUGUGACUGCGUACCUUUUGUAUAAUGGGUCAGCGACUUAUAUUCUGUAGCAAGGUUAACCGUAUAGGGGAGCCGGAGGGAAACCGAGUCUUAAUUGGGCGUUAAGUUGCAGGGUAUAGACCCGAAACCCGGUGAUCUAGCCAUGGGCAGGUUGAAGGUUGGGUAACACUAACUGGAGGACCGAACCGACUAAUGUUGAAAAAUUAGCGGAUGACCUGUGGCUGGGGGUGAAAGGCCAAUCAAACCGGGAGAUAGCUGGUUCUCCCCGAAAGCUAUUUAGGUAGCGCCUCGUGAAUUCAUCUCCGGGGGUAGAGCACUGUUUCGGCUAGGGGGCCAUCCCGGCUUACCAACCCGAUGCAAACUGCGAAUACCGGAGAAUGUUAUCACGGGAGACACACGGCGGGUGCUAACGUCCGUCGUGAAGAGGGAAACAACCCAGACCGCCAGCUAAGGUCCCAAAGUCAUGGUUAAGUGGGAAACGAUGUGGGAAGGCCCAGACAGCCAGGAUGUUGGCUUAGAAGCAGCCAUCAUUUAAAGAAAGCGUAAUAGCUCACUGGUCGAGUCGGCCUGCGCGGAAGAUGUAACGGGGCUAAACCAUGCACCGAAGCUGCGGCAGCGACGCUUAUGCGUUGUUGGGUAGGGGAGCGUUCUGUAAGCCUGUGAAGGUGUGUCGUGAGGCAUGCUGGAGGUAUCAGAAGUGCGAAUGCUGACAUAAGUAACGAUAAAGCGGGUGAAAAGCCCGCUCGCCGGAAGACCAAGGGUUCCUGUCCAACGUUAAUCGGGGCAGGGUGAGUCGACCCCUAAGGCGAGGCCGAAAGGCGUAGUCGAUGGGAAACGGGUUAAUAUUCCCGUACUUGGUGUUACUGCGAAGGGGGGACGGAGAAGGCUAUGUUGGCCGGGCGACGGUUGUCCCGGUUUAAGCGUGUAGGUGUGUGUUCCAGGUAAAUCCGGUUCACUUUAACACUGAGGCGUGAUGACGAGGCACUACGGUGCUGAAGUAACAAAUGCCCUGCUUCCAGGAAAAGCCUCUAAGCAUCAGGUAACAUCAAAUCGUACCCCAAACCGACACAGGUGGUCAGGUAGAGAAUACCAAGGCGCUUGAGAGAACUCGGGUGAAGGAACUAGGCAAAAUGGUGCCGUAACUUCGGGAGAAGGCACGCUGACACGUAGGUGAAGUGAUUUACUCACGGAGCUGAAGUCAGUCGAAGAUACCAGCUGGCUGCAACUGUUUAUUAAAAACACAGCACUGUGCAAACACGAAAGUGGACGUAUACGGUGUGACGCCUGCCCGGUGCCGGAAGGUUAAUUGAUGGGGUCAGCGCAAGCGAAGCUCCUGAUCGAAGCCCCGGUAAACGGCGGCCGUAACUAUAACGGUCCUAAGGUAGCGAAAUUCCUUGUCGGGUAAGUUCCGACCUGCACGAAUGGCGUAAUGAUGGCCAGGCUGUCUCCACCCGAGACUCAGUGAAAUUGAACUCGCUGUGAAGAUGCAGUGUACCCGCGGCAAGACGGAAAGACCCCGUGAACCUUUACUAUAGCUUGACACUGAACAUUGAGCCUUGAUGUGUAGGAUAGGUGGGAGGCUUUGAAGUGUGGACGCCAGUCUGCAUGGAGCCGACCUUGAAAUACCACCCUUUAAUGUUUGAUGUUCUAACGUGGACCCGUUACCCGGGUUGCGGACAGUGUCUGGUGGGUAGUUUGACUGGGGCGGUCUCCUCCUAAAGAGUAACGGAGGAGCACGAAGGUUGGCUAAUCCUGGUCGGACAUCAGGAGGUUAGUGCAAUGGCAUAAGCCAGCUUGACUGCGAGCGUGACGGCGCGAGCAGGUGCGAAAGCAGGUCAUAGUGAUCCGGUGGUUCUGAAUGGAAGGGCCAUCGCUCAACGGAUAAAAGGUACUCCGGGGAUAACAGGCUGAUACCGCCCAAGAGUUCAUAUCGACGGCGGUGUUUGGCACCUCGAUGUCGGCUCAUCACAUCCUGGGGCUGAAGUAGGUCCCAAGGGUAUGGCUGUUCGCCAUUUAAAGUGGUACGCGAGCUGGGUUUAGAACGUCGUGAGACAGUUCGGUCCCUAUCUGCCGUGGGCGCUGGAGAACUGAGGGGGGCUGCUCCUAGUACGAGAGGACCGGAGUGGACGCAUCACUGGUGUUCGGGUUGUCAUGCCAAUGGCACUGCCCGGUAGCUAAAUGCGGAAGAGAUAAGUGCUGAAAGCAUCUAAGCACGAAACUUGCCCCGAGAUGAGUUCUCCCUGAGACUUUAGGUCUCCUGAAGGAACGUUGAAGACGACGACGUUGAUAGGCCGGGUGUGUAAGCGCAGCGAUGCGUUGAGCUAACCGGUACUAAUGAACCGUGAGGCUUAACCUUACAACGCCG
rnacentral:rRNA from 1 species